GGUUGCUGUUGUCGGAGCUCGCAAAACUAUUGGAGAAGAGCUCCCUCCAUGCUAUUCCAAACAAAAUAAAUUUUAACAUCCUCGGUGGUUUUAUGGGUGUCAAAGUAUUUCUCAGCCUGGACAAUCCAUCCCUUUGGGUCCACUCCUUUGAAUGUGGGAAUCUCGACCUUCGAUAUUGUUAAUGGAGUUUCAUUACAGAGCAAAGC
rnacentral:misc_RNA from 1 species